GGGGAGAUACCAAAGCGGCCAACUGGGGCAGACUGUAACUCUGCUGUCUUACGACUUCGUAGGUUCGAAUCCUGCUCUCCCCACAA
rnacentral:tRNA from 1 species